AAAAUAUUAACAAACAUUCAUAGUUCAUAAAAAUAAUUAUUAGUAAUUCAAAUGUUCAAUUACAAUAUCUAAUUGGUAAACAAUUUCUUGCAUAGAUACAUGUAAAUAGUUAUAAUAAAAUGUCAAUAUUCAAAUUGAGUCCAGUGCAUUCUUGCGAUAUUCAUAUUUAUAUUUAUUCCUGCAUGAAGACAAUAACAGUAAGCCCAAGAUUCAAUACAUGUACCAUAAUUAUUAACAAAAUAAUUAGAAAAAUCAACAGUGUCAUCAUUAGCUGACAAUAUUGGUUUAUAGCUUCUUCAAAAAUUAUUUCAAAGGCUUUUGGAUCUUGUUCAUGAAGUAAAGUCCUCAAAAGUUUGCACGAUCAACAUAGAUUAUAUAUGUUUUGGACGUUUCAUUUCAACAAUCCAUGCAUUGGAAAAACUUUCAGCCAUAUCGGACAUAAAUACAUUGGGUUGCAAUUGUCCUGUUAAUGAUUUUAUUUUAGAAUAAAAUAUUGUCAGUACUGCUUCA